CGUGAAGAGUGCUUGAAGUCGUUCAGUAUUCAUUAUCUUUCAUCCAUUAUGAGGGAGUUAACGUUCAAUUUGUGCGGGGCAUCCUUCAAGUAAUAAAGAGAGAACAUCCUUCGAGUACAAUAACACAUUUUGUGGAAUUAAAUAGUUCAGGUGUUCGGAUACAAUCCGUAGAAGACAGACGGGAAUAAUUUUAAAUGCCCCUCGCCGUGUGGUUUAAUUGCCCAUGGAUUAACACUCGUUUGUCUACAGAAUGCGCUUCCUGUAGACCAGGCAAGUGACAGUGAUACCAAUAAUUCGAGCGGUUCGCAUAGUGAUACGUCUCCCUCUAGUAUCCUGCAGGAUCUUCCCGCAAGCAUUGGCGAACAAGAGGAUAAGCCAUCACAGUCGAAUGAGGAUCUUAACUCAUCAGAUGACUGUGUCUUUGUGGGCUAUGUGAAGCCUCGUCAUCAGAGGACACCCGAAGUCAUCACGUUGCUAUCGUCUGACCUAGAGGCAGAUGAAGGCGAAGAGAUGGAGUUGACCCAGAUGACACGCACAUACUCCAGUGAUAUAUUUCUCUCACCAGCAAGCUCUCCAUCCGGAUCAGAAAACAACAUAGUUCAAACACCUUACUUGAAAAGGCCACAUUUGAAAACCUUACGAAGUGAAUUUUAAAGGGACAUAAUGGUCCCUGAUCAACAGAGUUUUCAACCAUAUUAUUUUAUUCAUAACUUUAAGUAUUUGAAGUUCAAUGUUAACUACAUGUUCCACCAUUUUAACAAUCAAUAUCUCUUAUAAUUUGCAUUUAUGGUUUUCAUGAUUCUCAGAAUAAACAGCAAUUAUUUCCUUAAACAGCGUUAUCCAUCUGAUCUCUGUAAUGCUUUUGCUGUGAAUAACAAUGCUGACAAUGAAUUUGUUGUGGUUUCCUACCAACUUGUAUUAAUUGUGUUCAUAACUUUUUCAUCUUUGAAGAACAUUAUUUUAUAUGUGAAAAUGUAUUUUGCAAAACGAAAGUUUUACUUGCUUUUAACAGCUCAUAUACGAACACAGUUCUCUUGAAAGUUUAAACUACAUUUCCAAAGAAAAAUAUAUCUCUUAACUACAGGUCUUCCUUUUCAAACAAAAUGGCUUCGCAGUCUUAUGGCAGAGUUCCAUGUACUGGCUCGGUACUAAAAGGGAUAAUGCAGUUUUUCAGUAACUAUUCUCACCCUUACAACAGAUAUAGCUCUUUAAAUCCUCCUUCUGAUUGUAGUUCAACUCACAGUCAUCUUGAGGUCUGCAGAUUUCAUGAAUGGCAUCCACAACAUUUUGUGGUGAUGGAAAACCUUUAUGUGUCACUGUAAAACAUAAUUAUCACAAUUAAAUCAGAAAUAAAUGUAACAAAUAAACUUAGUGCUGCAGUAUGA